UGGAGUGGGGUGGGUUUUUGGGGCAACAGGAGUACCACGUCGGCCCCGGCCGGCGCUUGCAACUUCAAAGCUCUGCGGGGACCCCAACAGUCCUCCUCGCCGGGGCUUCGGUAUCAGUAACAUCUCUGUUGUUUUUUGUUUUCCCGAUGCUCCUCCCGCUGCAGUUUUCCCCUGUUAUGGUUAUCACGGGGGGAGCCGCUGGUCCCACCAAGACUCCCCUCUCUGUCCGGCUGCCCAGGUGUUUUUGAUGGAAACAUCUUAAGAGGGCCUGCUGAUGAAAGCUUCCAAAACCAGCUCAAUUUGUACAAGCCAAAAGGACGGAGUGUCUCCUCCUCUCUUAAACCCCCCCUCCCCAAGCACUUACGGCCAUGUAAAUACUGUAAGAAGAACCUCUGCAAGCUCUGGUUGCUGGAAUGCAUGCAUGACAUGACUUGGAAAGGACCUGCAGUGGAGAUGAAUUAGGGGUGGGCGAUAUGACGAUAUUAUAUCGUGAAUCGCGAUAUUGAGUAAAAUAUCGUCUCGAAUCUGCCAAAGUGGAGAAAUCGUAUAGAUCGUCUUGCAGUGAAGAUGUUUAUUAUCAGUAUCAGAGUGACGUUUUCUCACUUGUGUUGUUGUCUUCACUUUAUUCUUUACAUUAUUGUAUUCCACUUGUACACUUUAUGAGAGUAUCAUCAGUGUGUUAACAUUUUAUUGACUGCAAAUUACAAAUUGCAAGUAUAUGAAAGUUGUUUUUUGUUGUUUUUAUUUUUUGGAUGGAAGAUCGUGAUAAAAAAUCGAUAUCGUGAUUUCAUGUUAAAGAAUCGUGAUACAACAUUUUUGCCAUAUCGCCCACCCCUAAGAUGAAUUUCUAUUGUUGAGGAUUUGCAACUGAGAAACAUCCUAUAAAAGCUUGUGCACGACCCAGAAAUUCGACACAGGAAUCCAGUCUUUUGCAGUUUAUCAUGCUAUUAUAAACACAGUAUUCUACAAUGCAAGGUUUGUGUGGACAUUGUUCUUCUAUUUCCUGAGGUGAACUUUAUGUGGUAUGGCAUGCCUGUGCUCUGAGGGAAUUGAAUAGCUGGCAUAUCUGAUAGAGCGAGAUGGCAAUGGGCUAUCGUCUGUCAAACUCCACACCGUGACUUUGUCCCUGCUUCCCAUCUUUGAUGUGUACAGUAUUGAUUGUGAAGGAAAUGAGUAGUCACCGAAAGCAUUCAGAGGUUUCUCUUGUGGUUUUGUGCAGACAUGGCAGCACUGUAAACCAAUC